rnacentral:lncRNA from 1 species
UUUUUAUUUUUAGAGCUAGGGUUAUAGAGACAAAACGUUCAAAUUAAAAUAAGACCAAAAUCCCUGAAUUUUAGCAUUCAGAUCCUGCCCCAGUGACUUGGCACAUCUUAUAUAAAUAUGCAGAGCCUAACUCCCGGUGACCCACAGUGCUUGGAACUAAAUGGCCCAGAAGGACAAGUCCUGCUUUAAAUUUCACUGCUUAACAACACAGCCAGCCUGUCCCCUCUGAUACAGACCCUGACAAAUGGCCUGUUAGAUAAGACUGAACAAGCAACAGCGCCCCACUGCUAGAAGACUUCUGCUCUUCAGCCUGGAGAUGGGAUCCCAUCCCAGGGCUCCGUUAGAGUGCAGUGGAGUUAAUGAACUUUCUACCUCAUUCUCUUCUAUCUUUCCCAUAGAUUCCUUUACAUCUUACACAUCACUGGCCUGACAUCAUCCACACAUCUCACUUUAUAGCCUAGGCAUUGAACUUACCAAUGCCUAGACUAUGCCCAACUGCUGCAAGUAUAACUACUGUACACCAACACCUUGGCCUUUUCCCCCCAUCACCCCUGCUACCAAACCUCAGUAGCCACUCACUGUGUAGUCUGAGGCAGCCCCGAGCACUGGCAAUACCCCUGCUUCAGCUUCCUAAGUGCUGGGAUUACAGGUGUGAGCCACUCUGCUCUAUCGUUUUUUGUUUGUUUGUUUGUUUGUUUUAUUAUUUUUAUUCUUUCCCCACUUGCUUUGUUAGUUGGGCUUGUCAUUUAUUUUUUGGUUUGUGCUAGAGACAGACUGACCAUGUAGCCCAUGCUGGCCUUGAACUCAUGGCCUCUCUGGGUGCUGGGAUCAUAGACAUACACCAUUAUACCAGGCAACUUGCCUUUCGUUUACAUCAGUAACUCUGGAACUUUAGAAGAAACAGAUGAGUUAUUUUACAGACCAUUCAGUGGGGUGUGUCCUGUUCUCCUCUGGCUCACAAUGGGCGCUGACCUCCCUCUGAGCUGGAAUGUUACAAGAGUGACACUGUGUGCCUCAGUCAUUUGCAGAAGAACUAGGUGUCUGUAGCCUGAAGAAGCUGAUGUUAGAUUUGAUCACCUGCUUAGGGUCCAUCAGUUUUUUCCACUCCAGAAGGUAGAAUUUGCUCUCUUGCAAGUAAGGAAGGGGCACUCUGCAGGGACACUUCCAGGUCACAUAAAUAUUCCCUUCCUGCUGGAUCUCUCGGGUCACUUCUGAUCGCCUGUGUUGCUCUGCUCUUACCCCUUGACCUUGGUCACUCUCCCUCCUGCAGGUCCUGGGAUGUGCUUCUCUCAGCCUGGUCUUCUAGCCUUAUGCUGUGAAAAGCCAUCCCUGUUAGUAACACUCAGGGCCAUGCCGCUCAGACACACCCUUCUCAGUCCAGGAGUGGACCCAGCGGCUGAAGGACAUAGGCUGCUGGCUCACCAGAAGAAAGGAAUCCUUCCAGAACCACACCUCCAAACCCAGAGGCCAGAAGCAGAUGGCAGCAGCAGAUAAGUGCAGGGGGUUCACUUGUCAGGGCUCUGACCGCGUCUGGGAGGGAUCAGCUGGGACAAGGGGCGUGUUCUUCUGCCACAGGCUGUUCCUGGUGUGUUGUGGAACGAGGCCGGGCAGAGGCAGCAGUACACGGUGUUCUGCAGGAAGGCAGGCAGGCGAGCUCCAAAUACGGACAUGCGAUAGGAAGCUUGGCUCCAGGAGUGCAGACGCCUCACACAGGAAGCAAACCAACCAGCCCAACCCAGCUCCCAAGUGUCACACAGCCAGGGAGGGAGACGGGGCUGCGAUGUGAGGAACUGAUUGUCCAGGCUUCAAAAGACCAAAUAAAUAAGCCGAUAAAUGAACCAUGAACCACCGAAGAGCCCUGAGCCACCAAAGAGAGGAAGAACGGUCCUCAGUCAAACCAAACUUUCUGAGGAGGAAGGGCUGGCCUUCUCAGCUCUGUUGUUGCUUUAGAAGCAGCUGAGGAGUUGACUGCCCCUGCAACUCUCCCAGGGCAACGCUGGCUGUCCCUGCACCUUUCAGAAAGGGAAAUAGUCCCUUCAUCUGAGCCAGGGCCACCAGCUCUGCGGUGAGGACCAAUUCUCUAUGUUGAAGGUCAGGUUUCUACUCUGAGUUGAAAGAAUAACUGGAAAGGCAGGCGUCUGGGAGACUCCUGCCACCGGUUGCUACCCACGUGAUAGCUGAUGGUGACUGGGGGGCAGUGGGCUGUGAAAUGUGCCAUCUGAAGUCAGAGCGGACUUGAGUUUGAACACCACCCCCUCUGCUUACCAGCUGCUUUACCCUGGUAAGUAAUGAAUUCCCAUUAAGACUCCAUCUCCUCCUGUGUUGGAAGCACUAUGACAUUCAACCUGGAUAGUGAAAUGGAACCAGACAGUCUUGGGUGAAGUCUUCCUAGACCGAUGAACAAAUGUCUACUCACCAACCACAGACCAAAAAAAAAAAACCCAAAAAAACAAAAAAAACAAUUCACACCCAAGUCUGUCUUGGUGUAGCAGUGAAUUCAAUUCCAGCUACUUACAGGUGUGUGGCAGCUUGUGAGCUUUGUUUUGUUUUGUUUUGUUUUUUGUUUUUUUUUUUUUUUUCGAGACAGGGUUUCUCUGUCCUGGAACUAGCUCUUGUAGACCAGGCUGGCCUCGAACUCACAGAGAUCCACCUGCCUCUGCCUCCCAAUGCCCGGCAGCUUGUGAGCUUCUAUACACUGAAGAAAAGGUUUCUUACUCCCCGCCUCUCCCCGCCCCAGUCCAUAUAUCCUCAGGAGGGGCAGGGUCUUGUGAACCUCUUGCCCCAGGAACUGCUUAUGUACACAGAGGUUCCCAGGAAUGGAUGGCUUUCCCAGAGUUCCUUCUGUCAGUCAUGGAAACUGAGAGAGGAGAGAGAGAGAGAGAGAGAGGAGAGGAGAGGAGAGGAGAGAGAAGAGAGAGAGAGAGAGAGAGAGAGAGAGAGAGAGAGAGAGAGAGAGAGAAUGUUUCCCUGUGGCUCCCCUAGCAACAUCUAACUGUCUAUAUAUCUUCAGGGAGAGGCCAGGCUUCCGAACCACACCCAUCUGGAGAGUUUAACUGGCUCAGUCUUUGCAAGUUUCUUUUGAAUAGUCCCAGCUGCUGAGAAUUCAAGGUGAGGGCCUUGUCAUGCCUAGAGGACAGAGUUCCUAGCAGAUGGCACAUUGCAAUGCAUUCAAAAGGUGCUUAUUAAGUGCCCCAUAAUCCUCUAGUAACAGGAAGGGCUGUUAUUAUCAGUUUCUUGUGUAAGUGACUUCUCCCUGAAUAAAAUUAACCUAUGAUGAUGGUGGUGGUGAUGACAUGAGACUUGAGUAGAAGCCACUGUGAGCUUGAGGGACCAAACAAUGAGCAACGGGUGGCAUAAGAUGUCCUGAUCCAGGUAGCCACUUCUGUUACUGCCUAUCCAUUUUCAGAAGCCUUCAAUAGAAUUUAGUUUUUGUUUUUCUUUUUUGAGACAGGGGUUUUCUGUAGCUUUGGAGGCUGUCCUGGAACUAACUCUUGUAGACCAGGCCGGCCUCGAACUCACAGAGAUCUGCCUGCCUCUGUCUCCUGAGUGCUGGGAUUGAAGGCGUGCUCCACCACUGUCUGGCUCCUUCAAUAGAAUUUUAAAAACUUUUAUUAUGAGGUGUGUAUGUGUGUGUGUGGGGGGGGUGGAGGGGUGGGAGGGUGUCCAAGCCCAGACCACAGCAAGUGUGUAGACAUUGUUCUUUUUUUUCUUUUUUUUUUUUUUUGGUAUUUCUCUGUGUAGCUUUGGAUCCUCUCCUGGCACUCACUCCGGAGACCAGGCUGGCCUUGAAUUCACAGAGAUCCGCCUGCCUCUGCCUCCCGAGUGCUGGGAUUAAAGGCGUACGCCACCAACGCCUGGCGUGUGUGGACAUUGUAAGACAACUUUUGUUUUGAGAUAGGAUCUUCCCAUGUAUCUUAGGCUGGCCUUGAACUCAUCAUAUAGCCAAGGCUAGCCUUGAACUCCUUAUAAUCACAAGUCUCCACUUUCUUAAGUGUUAAGAUUACAGGCUUGCAUCAUCACACCCAGCUCAAACUGGCUUUUAUAACAGACUUACCACCAAGGUGACUCAUUGAUCUGUUAAUCCUGGAUGGAUUAAUACAUUCCUCCAGGCAGAAUCCUCUAGACUAAUCAUUUCUCUAGCCAGUGAGAUGGCUCAGGUAUAGUGCUUGCUGAUGAACCUGACAAUAUGAGUUCAAUCCCGGGACCUACACAACGGAAGAACAGCACUGAUUUUUAAAAGUAGCUGUUUGGGGGCUGGAGUGAUGGUUUAGUGGUUAAGAUCAGUGGCUGCUCUUAUAGAGGAACUGGAUUGUAGAAGGAGACCUACCAGAGGCACCGUGGCGCUGACCAUGCCCGUUUGGGCAUAGUCACGGGUGUGUACAUGAGCAAGUAGGAUUUGGUCUGGGCCAGGGACAAGCUUGUUCUCUCUUGGUUCCGGUUGGGUUGUGAAGAGCCACUGGGCGUGGAUCCUUGGAGCUGGGACUUGAGGAUUAUCAGUUUCUUGUGUAAGUGACUUCUCCCUGAAUAAAAU